UACGUAGGGUGCGAGCGUUGUCCGGAAUUACUGGGCGUAAAGAGCUCGUAGGUGGUUUGUCGCGUUGUCCGUGAAAACUCACAACUCAAUUGUGGGCGUGCGGGCGAUACGGGCAGACUGGAGUACUGCAGGGGAGACUGGAAUUCCUGGUGUAGCGGUGGAAUGCGCAGAUAUCAGGAGGAACACCAGUGGCGAAGGCGGCCGCCUGGGCCAGUCCUGACGCUGAGCCGCGAAAGCGUGGGGAGCGAUCCGG
rnacentral:rRNA from 1 species